AUACGUAGGUCCCGAGCGUUGUCCGGAUUUAUUGGGCGUAAAGCGAGCGCAGGCGGUUUAAUAAGUCUGAAGUUAAAGGCAGUGGCUUAACCAUUGUUCGCUUUGGAAACUGUUAGACUUGAGUGCAGAAGGGGAGAGUGGAAUUCCAUGUGUAGCGGUGAAAUGCGUAGAUAUAUGGAGGAACACCGGUGGCGAAAGCGGCUCUCUGGUCUGUAACUGACGCUGAGGAUCGAAAGCGUGGGGAGCAAACAGGAUUAGAUACCCGGGUAGUCCACGCCGUAAACGAUGAGUGCUAGGUGUUAGGCCCUUUCCGGGGCUUAGUGCCGCAGCUAACGCAUUAAGCACUCCGCCUGGGGAGUACGACCGCAAGGUUGAAACUCAAAGGAAUUGACGGGG
rnacentral:rRNA from 1 species